UAGUCAUUCUUCUUUCAGCCUCAAACCUCACUUUGAUGUGUAGUGUUAGUUUCGGCACGUGCCGACUGAUAAUAACGAAUAAUCACACACGUAUACACUCUACAUGUCAUUACCAACUUGGCACUGAACCAGUUCUGGAAAGCUGCAUACUCAUGAUGAGUUUUUUAACUGAUAACCCAUCAGAUCCUUACCCUGAGCAUGAGGUGAUGGCAGCAAGAAUCCUUCUCAUGCAUACUGUUGAAAACUCUCGAUUUUGGAAACAGAUAAAAACGAAAUAUGGUAUUUCACAGAGUAACACCAUUACAGAUUCAAGACAAGAUGAUACAGAGAAUACGUGGAUUCCACAGAGAAUACCACCUUCUUGGUCUUUGCCUGUAACUCUUGCAACAAAGCCAGGAACAGAAGCGACUUUAAUGAGUGAGAGCAUAAAAAGCAAAACAGACUACAGUUUGAAGUCAUGGGAAAAAGAAAGGGACUGAAGAAGCAAGUCCAGCAGGUCAACACUUCUGCGGUUAUGAUUCAUGAGAAUGGCCACUGCACACAAAAGAAGAAAGAAAAAACUGUGAAACCUCCUACUUUUACAAUUAGUGGAUGUUUUGAACCUUAUCCUUUAAAAGAGCUUAUUUCUGCAAGAACAGUUCUUAUCAAAACUAUCCAAGGUAACCAAGGUAACAUUUGGGGACCAUUGAAAGAAAGGCUUGGAAUAUUUCCUGAUGGGCGUAGAAGAACUUGUACAGAACAGUCUGUAAAUUGGCUUCCUCAGCCAGUUCCCUUUGAAAAGUGGUGCUGCCCAAUCGUUGUUCAGUCAGUUUAUAGAGGCGAUGGAACUAGUCUCCAAAACUUUGAUGUACUCUCUGAUAAGCUGUCAUCCUCAGGUACGGCAAGGAAGGUUUUUCCAAGUCAUAACAUUUCAGACAAACCAGCAACACAUAGAGUUCUUUACAAAAGAAAAAUGUCUUUGAAUUUGAUUGGUGAUGGUAGUGGUAUUCCAGACAAAAGUACUUUGCAUGCUGGAUCAGAUUUUGAUCAGCAGAUAUCAAAAAAGAAUUAUUCCAGAACAAUGCCUAACAGUGCAGAAACUGCUAGUGCUGUUAAUCAUUCUGAAACUGCAUUGGCUGUUGACAAACAAUCACAAGGGAAGAAUUUGGUGGCACCAUUAAAAAAAAAAUCUGCUUCUGCACAACUUAAAAGGUAUAAGCAAAGACAACGAAGAAUUAAAAAAAGACAAGAACGUGAAAACAGGACAAAAAGUAUUCAGAAUUCAACCUAAUGCUUUGAAUGGAACACAAAGGGUCAUUGGUAAAAACUGUUAACAUUUGUGCAUACUCCUGUGUAAAUAUGUAUAUUCUUUGUGUGCAAGUCUUUCAAUAUAGAUUAGAGUCUAAGAAACUUGGUAUUGAAUUGACAUUCAUCUUUCCCCCCCCCCCCCAUCUCUCACCCCUCCCCCAAUUUUUGUUCAUUACACAGUUUCUUCCCGUCUGCUGCUUUCGAUAAACAUUUAAAAAAAAUGUAUUGCACCAAUUACACGAAAUACAAAGAGAGCUGCUUAGUGUUCAUUAGUAUGAUUGCCAUCAUUCUGACCAAAUUUUGCGUCAGUUUCGAUCGCAGAUGACGUAUGGGAAAUAAACAGUUAUACCCUGCUCACCUCGCCAACUGUUUCAUGAAACGAUGAAAAUCGAUCUUCGUAAUUACAAAAAUACCACAACUCGAAUGUUCUAUCCUUUGCCAUAACAUCCUUGAACAAACUAGCAACACUAAUAAUAAGCACAUUUAUAAAGCGCUUUUCACCAACAAUGGGGCUCAAAGCGCUUUACAGUAAUGAGUGCACUUGUAUAGUGUGAUUCCCAGUCAAAAAGACAAGCUUACUGCACAGAAAGAUCAAAUAACAAUCCAAUAAAGAAAACUUGCAAUCUGUGAGGGAGAUGUCAGAAUUUUCUCUCACGUUAACCUGCGUGAAGCCCCUGGACCUGACAACGUGACAGACAAGGUACUCAAAGAUUUCGAGUCAGGUGGUGUCUUUUCCAGCUUUCCUUUGACUCUCACAGUUUACCCGCGCACAUCAACAAUAAUACCAGUGCCAAAGGAGCAUAAUGCUGCAGACUUGGAAGAUUUUCGAACUGUGGCUCUCACGUCUGUUGUGGCUAAGUGUUUACAGAGAGUUGUGGGAAGUUUGAUAACUACUGUGGCUGAUCGCCUGGGUCUUCUGCAGUUUGCCAACAAGCAACGUAGGAGGGUGUCUGCUGCCACUAUCACUCUUUUAGAUGCUAUCCUACAACACUUGAGCACCUCUGGCACUUAUGUUCGGGUCCUGUUCACGGAUUUUUUCAGCGCCUUCAACAGUCAAACCACACCUUUUCGUAAAGCGCCUAUUAGACUUGGAUGUCAACACAAGCCUAGCUCAGUGGAUAUGAUCAUUCCUGAAGGACCGACCACACAGGCACUACCCCUCUCUCCCCACAGAUUCAAAGGACAUAUAUGGGGUGCUGGAGACUGUUUACAGGUAUCUUGUUGAGAGAAUCCUCACCUUUAACAUCGCCGCCUGAUAUAUGGUCACAUCCUCGUCAGAGACUAGGCAAGGCUGGCCAGAAUCAUCCACCAGGCAAAAUUAUUGGUAUAGCACAGCUGCCACUUUCUGACUUGUACCUUCAUGCAGCUAGAAAGAUGGCAUAUCACCAAACACACCCUCUCCAUACCAAAUUUCAGCAGUUUCCCUCAAGCACGCGAUACAGAGUGCCACGUGCGCAAGAAAACUGCCCACCAGAUGUCCGUGCCAGCAGCCAUCACCAUCCUAAAUAAAAGGCACAAGAAUUAACUUGUAAGGAAAGCACAAGUGUCGUCGCCGGCGUUAUGCGCAAGGCCUUGGGCGGUCGCCCCUGCUGACCACCACGUUAAUUGCUAGUUUGAACCCAGCAAACACGCAAGAUUGGGCCAAACUUGGGCCAAUGUUAAAAGCUUGGCCGAAUCUUGCGUGUUUAUGGGAAUGUGAAGCUUUGAAUGAAGAGGAGAUAAAGAGGUCGAAGGCAAUUUUCACUGCCAUUUGAUUUUGUGAGGUGAUAAUAGGAAAGAUUCUUUCGUUUCCGUCGUUUGUUGUGUUUACCCAUGGUUCGAUAGCAUUGGGAUAAAAAUCAUUUAAACGUUAUCUGAAUGGAUAGUACACACCAAGUGGUUUCGCCAUUAUUUCUUUCUAUGCACCAUGCAGUUGGAACAGACGUGAGGCUGCAUAUGCGAGCUGAAAUCGCAGCAAGCCAACAAACUUCCAGUUCUGUCAUGCAACAAAUAUUGCUGAUUGCUUAUGUCAAAGCACGGACGUAUAUUUAGUUCGUGGUCAAAGCGCAUUGAGCUUGCUGCCACGGAAGUGUUCUUAUUUUACUGAAACUAUAAAUACUAAAUUAAAGGUAUUUUAACAUUUUCCGUUUUUGAGAAAAGAUGUACCAAAAUACAUGAUCAGAAAUAGAUUACAGAUAAAUAUGAAAGGUAAAUGUUUUGAAAGGCUUGUUGAGUGUUCGAAAAUUUCUUAGUUCUAGUAAUUUUUAUGUAUAUGAAUCAUUUUCUUUUGUCAGUGGCUCCGUUUGACAGAUUGCACUUCUAGUGUUAGCAAAUCGAGAUAAUGUUUGUCGUCUCAUCAUCACUAUUUCUCGUCUUAUGAAGUCUUUUGUUUCUAGUUUUUAAUCUCCUUUAAUCUUAUUAGCUUCCCACUCCAGCAAGACAUGCAAGGAAGAUUUUUUUUAAAAAGUGUAUGUCACGUGACGAUCUGGUUUUAUCGAGUAGUUUCUGCUCAUCGUAAGCAGAAGCGAAUUUCACAGAUCUGCUAAACACAUGAAAUGGACCGUCAACUGGUAUAAAAUCUUUAAAAUUAUUUUAAAUAGCUUUCGUAAUUAUGGAAAUGUCAUCAAAGGUAUGCAGGGUGGUUAUAAAAAGAAGUACGAAAUCGAGCAAGAUCGAGACAGUGAUUGGACUGUUGCAGCAGACGACACCAGUAGAUCUUUUGCAUCAUAAGGCUAUGUAGGUAAUAUUAAGUUAGCCUUAAACAAUGCAUUUUUACAGUGAUUAAAAUUACUUUUAAAAUAUAGUUUAAAUCUGUGCAAAGGAAUCAAAAUCUGCAAAAUUACUGCAUGAUAUUUGCAGCACACUUUGUUUCGACACGAGCUGGAGUGACCGCAUGUAGAACAUAAACAAUGGAAGACAUUACUCUGCCUGAUAUUUUGAAAGAGUUGACGUCGUUGAUCAUGCUUCAGAAUGAGAGAUCGCAAACAGAAAAACAACAUUAUAUCGGAGUGGGAAUAACAGUUAGCGAAAGCAUUCAAGAAGAAAAUAUGCACUUUUGUAUUUUAAAAGUGUCAACCAGCUGCCUGCUUCCAGUUGUUGAUCUUCUAAAAGAUGGUUCAACAGUCAAACUGAAUCAAUUUGUUCUUGAUAUGCAACAAAAGAGCGACAAGAGCCACUUUUUUGCUGUUGUUAACACGCCAUCGGACAGUAACGGGGUACACUUAUCAGUCAGCUGUACGGUCAUCAGACUGGAGGCUGUUCCCACCGGAGGUGUUGCUGUUAUUUCCGAGCAAGGAGCUAUCUCAGUUAAGGGAGCAAAAGAAGAAUGUGAAGGCGUACACUUUCAUCUAAGGCUGCAUCGUGAGAUGAGGAUCAUAUUAGGAGAGGCCAAAACAAUGCACGAUUUUCUGCACAAUUUGAGGUUCCUACAGCCAUCUAUGAAGCUUUCUUUUCUACUUCAUUCUGGUGAUCAGAUUUGCAGAAAUGAGUUCAGAUAUGAGCGCGUUGGUGAGAUUAAUGAGUUAUCAGUGGUCACAGACCCAAGAUACUACAUAAAAGAUGCGCCUGUGGACUCUAAAGUGUAUCUUGGCAUCGGAGAGACUCAUUACCGUGAACGUCAAGCCCGAAUCACGUGCCUAGCGUGUCACGCUGCUCGCGAACUCGACGACUGGGACCGCUGCCUGUCCAAGGUUCAGUGGCAGACGUUUGGUCUUGAUGCUGCAGCCACAGAUGUUCCUGCUAGCGGAAGAUGUGCAAUGGAUGGUAUCUGUAAACUCUCAUUGAAAAACGCCGCUCUCUUGCCGGAGUGGGCGAGGUCCGGUGAAUUUGUGUUGCGACUAAAUUUUAUCUUCUCUUGGCCAGAUGACGUGAAUGCAGAGAAAGAAACACAGUUGUGGAUGAAGCAACAGUACCGAGAUAACCUUUCGAACUUGUCGGAGACUGCGACAAAAGCACUGAAACAUUUGUACCUGAAAUUCCCACAAGAAAACAAAGAGGCUAAGCGUGUGCAUGAAAUAUUUCUCCCCAUGGUUGCUGAGUCAAUAGCGAGCAUUUACAGAAGAAGUGUCAAUGCCACUUUUAGGGAGGCAGUCGAGGAUUGCUUAGAGGCUGGAGGCGGUUUAGCUUUGGAGGCACGCUUAAGGGAUUCUUUGGUGAAAAUGAUGGACAGAGGACCUUGUAAACCAACACGGGAGAGUAUUAAUGAGCUACAACAAAGCACACGGUUGUUUUCACAGCUGCCUGACAUCGUUGAUGUGUGGGACGACAAUGUUGGUGAAACGUUUGGUCAAAUACCAGAAAAUCAUCCAAACGAACAUUCAUCCGUCGACGAAGAAGCUGCAUUGGACGAGGAUUCCUGGUUUGCUGAAAUGGAAAUGGAUCUGGCCGAUUAAGAUGUUUGUCGAAUCGGAUAAAGCUUCGCUCUCUGUUCGUUGACAUAAUAUUUGGAGAGGUUUUCAGACAUAAAGUGUUCCGACUUGCCUCUGAUGGAAGAAAAGUCUGCUGUCCGCUGUGACGUCACUCGAGUGCCUGUGUCCACGUGCUGACAGUAUGGUAAGAAGUGUGAGCCCUCCAGCAGCUGCGUGUCUUCCUGUUGCCAGUCUCGCGCGCUGGCAUCAAGGUCCUGGAAUAAAUACCAGCGGCGGUUUUUGCACGGGCGACGUGGUAAUGACACCAAGACAAUGCUGGCGGGCGGACGUGCAGCGCACGGCAAGCGGGUGAUCGGUCCUGCCGUCAAAGAAUUCAUGUUCGCGCCAUCGAACACCUGGGACACACAAGAAAACGUAUAGAGAGUUCAUACAGAAUUAAGAAUAAUUUUUAAUGUAACAAAAGUAUUACUUGUGUGUACGCGGCGCCACGAACCUUACCUGCCGAAGAUAAUCAUAGGCGAUGCCCUCCCCUCAAAAACGAAAAAACAACCCUGAAUUAUCCUCAUUAACCAGUUCAUUAAACCCAGUUUAUUAACGGAAUACAGUUCCACGACCAACUAACCUUUGUCCAGUCUGCUUAGCUUCAUUCCUUUCUGUUCAAUGGGGUCGUACUCGAUGCAUCUGACCAAGCGCGUGUAGUUGAGUAUUACAUUUUUACCUUUCUAAUAGCUGAAAAAUUUACCAUACUCGACUAAGCCAUACAAAGACAUCUAAAAGUGUCCAAAAUUCAAAUCAUGUUCAGAUUCGUCAAUCAUUUUAUUUAUUUAUUAGAACAUGCUCGUGCUAAAUUUACUUUCACUAAGUUAUUUCCGGUUAUGUAUAUUUUGUGCAGUUGCAACAAUACUUCUGCUGCAAAGCUUUGCCUCUUAAAAUUUUGUAGUAUGUAGACAAACAGAAGAAACUCGGACAACUUUUGUCGUUCCAAACAUAUUUGGAUCGGUUCUUUGUAUGGGGGUUUAAAAAAUAAUUGCAGUGAGCAGGGCUGUAUAACAGUUCCGUCACAACCAUCUGUGGCCAUUCAUCUUACCUUAAGAAAACAUAAAAAUGCACUUGUAAUGUGAGGGAAUAAUCCUCACACUAUGCCCUUUGAAAGUGUGUCCUUCCCUGUUUUGUACGUCAUAACGGCUGUAAUAUAUUCGGUGUUCAGAGGAAGCAUGCUACAUAAAGAUUAUUAAAACAUUCUCCACAUUGAUCCAUGAGAAUUAUAACCCAUCCUACAGAAUUCUGAGAUAUUUAUUUUAUCUCUGAAAGUAUCGCUGAAGUUGAUGAGAAAAUUCUAUAUCUCUUGAAUUCAAGACCACUUUGCGUUGCUGAUCCUCUUCAUAUUUACUAGCAUUGAUAUUUGGACAGGUUCCUUAAUACGUCGACAGCUGAGCUAACAUUUCAUACCGUGAGUGUUUCUAUCUAGGAGAAAAAGAGACAAAAAAAGAGACUGGCUUGUAUCAAGGGAGGGUUCAUUCGUGGAAGAGCGUUGUCAGAUAAGAGCGUCUGAGACAGCUACUCUUGCCUUAAUCAUGUCUAGCAAAUCGAGAUCUUUGAGGAUGGUAGGUUAGUCACUGUUUCUCAUGUGGGAAAUAACAUUAAAAGACUUGGCUUCCUCUCUUGACAGGACAGCUAGGUCUCGUAGCCAGGACCAACGCCCGAGAGAGAGAGAGACCAGCACCCAUGUGGUCCGUUCCACCCCGACACUUUCCAGUCGUGGAAUCAGACUGUAAUCGCUGUCGAUCCCACCUCUCUCUCAAACUCUUUUAUGUCUCCCUCUCUUCCUCUUGUUGUAUCCAUCCCUGUCUGUGAGAGCAUCAAUGCCUGCGUGUUAAAGAGCUCUGAAUUGAUGGAGAUUUCGUACUUUUCUAGCCGGUCCUAACAACGAACAUUGGAUCCGAUUUUAAAGGCGGCUUACAUUUCUCAGCCCGUGUGAUAUAGAAAAGUGUUUAAUUCCUUUACAAUAGAUAACACUAUCCCUUUCCGCGUCUGCUACCUUAGUGCAAUCCUUUUAAAAUGACUGGGAUGGGCUCGAUGCCAGAACUGAGUGAACAUACCCUUACGAUUUCGAGAUACGUCUACUUUAUUUUUGUUUUGUUUUUUUCGGACUGGUAAACCUUCACGGGAGAAAAAAGAUUGAUGCCUGGCUAUCUGAAACGAGCGCCAAGUGCAAAAUGGACAUGGGUCAUAACGAUCUGUCUGACGCCGGCAACAUCUUUUAACCUUUCGCUGGGCACUCUAUCAGAGUUAGCCCGCCCUAUGACUUCGUCAUCAAAUCAACAAAGAGCGGUACAAUCAGAACUUGCAAUUUAUUUUCGCAGGAGAGCUUUGUGCUCGCGAGAGAAAGUCUUAUCACGAACUUGUAUUACUGGACUGCUGGCAGACGAUUUUUUUUUCCAGUUAACUACUAAAACGAGGCAGGAGUGUACAAAGCUUCCGGUUUAGUUACAUUGUUUAGGCUCGCCGAGACUAGCAGCGGAGAACUUCGCCUAAUAUCACGUGUGUAAAACUGUGAAUGCCAUCAGCUUGUUAGGGCAGCUCAGUACAUUUCUGCCUGUAUGGCAUUCACUAAAAAGGAUAAAGAAAGAUUAAAAAGACAAUGAAAAAGAAAGGAUACAUUAUGGAAGAUACACUAUACGUUAAAAAUCCCAAAUCCCAUCAACAGAUCGGAAACAGCCUUAUUGAUGACUAGGAACCACAAUCGAGUUCUUCUGAAGUACACAUAGGGUACCAGGAAGCAAAAGCGGGGAAAAUGUCGGAUGUAAAUAAAACCAGCACCGGCUUCCAUUGCAAGCUUGUUCAGGUUUCACAUUUCCUUUUGCUUUUCUAUUUUCAAUUCAGCGUCCACACACUUCUGUUCUAUUUCUAAUUGCCUGUCACCCAAACAGAAUUAUAUGUUUUAGAAUGAUUCAUAAUAUUCAUGAUUAUUAUUCUUUUCAUUGUAAAACAUGAUUUUCACUUCCCUACACCCCCACGUGCAGACAAUGUUAGGGGAAUAUUUUUAAUUAUUGAAACACAUAUGAAACAUCCUUUAUACUCGGCACAUUGUCGUGCCUAUUGCGUGCCUCUCCAAUUUCCCCAGGCCAAUAAUGUCCUGCAUUUAUGAUAUUUCCGGCUAAUGUGUUAUACCAGUGCCAAAGAAGCUGAAUGCUACAAACUUGAAAGAUUUUCGACCUCUGGCUCUCACGUCUGUUGUGAUAAGUGUUUACAGAGAGUUGGGGGAAGUUUGAUAACUUCCACUGUGGAUGAUCACCUGGAUACCUGCAGUUUGCUUACAAACCAGGUAGAGGGGUGUCUGAUGCCACUCUCACUCACUCUUUUAGAUGCUUUACUACAACACUUGGACACCUCUGGCACCUAUUCGGUCCUGUUCAUAGAUUUUUCCAGCGCCUUCAACACCUUCCAGGUACACCUUCUUGUAAAGCGCCUAGUAGACUUGGAUGUCAACACCGGCCUAGCUCUGUAGAUAUGAUCAUUCCUGAAGGACCGACCACACAGGGUGGGUCUCCACCAACAGACACUGUAUAUUCUGGAUCGUCUGAAAGGGUAAAUCUGUGAAUGGAUGAAACGCUUUUGUCAGACGAGCAGAUCGUCAACUCAGGUACCCCUCAGGGAUGUGAGCAAAAGAAAUAUAUCUGUCCUGGACCUCCUAGGACAGACAAUAAAGUUUGAUUUGAUUGGAUCGUGUUUCAUAUUUAAAUGCAAAAUUUAUUUUACGCGCGCAAAAUCGUUGCUUCAAACUCCGCUAGCUUGCGGCAAGUGCACUGGUGGCCUUAGUUUCAAGCUCAAUUUUGUAAUUUGAAGGCGAGGAAGGAUGAACCAAUAAUUUUUUAUGGAAACUCAUUUGCCUGUGUACGCAUUUCAUGUUCUUUGGCACACAACUGACACGGUAAUGAUUCAUUUUUUAGUGUAAAUAAUGGGAUCAGGGGAACAGAAGAGUCAAUCAACAUUGUUUGCAAUCUUAUUUUCUUCAUCAGCUUGUCGCCAUUCUUCCGUCCUGCUCACUGCUUUCCGCCAAGUGAUGUGCAGAAAAAUGAAAUCGAUUUAAUUUGAACGAUUUCACAACAGAAACAUUUAAAUGACACUUAAAUCCUUUAAAAAGUAUCAGCUCACGCGUGAAUAAGAUUAUGCAGAUUAGCUAAGACAAGUAAGUCGACGGCUUGAAUACUUGUCUCAUCCACAGGUAGAGGGGGACACGUAAAGAUAUUUAAUCAAAACAUUUGGAACCAAAAAUACCUUCUCUGUCUUCUCAACCUCAUACAUGCUUUUCUUCAGAACUCUUGUAUUUGCUAGUUUGCUGUAAGAGUAUUAUGACAUAUCCAUUUGCUAACAAGGAGUAUGUGUAAGUGAAAGGAAUGUGGUUAUUUUGGUUUUGAUAAAUUUGAGCGUUAGUAAAAAUCCAUCUUCUUUCAAGUUGGUAAGAAAUGGCUUUUUGAACAUACUUCUUUUGUAGAAACCUCUCAUGUAGGGCAGAGUACUGUUUCGCCCAAUCCUAAAUUCUUCAUUCCCGCACUUUUUUCUCAUGAUGUUAUCUGUUUGCUGACGCUUACAUUUUCUGUAUAGUUGACUUUCGGUUCGUUUAUUGUCUUUCGAUGCUCGUAUUCUUUCGGGAAAUGCGCUUUACAAAUGAUUUAUUUUUUAUGAUAAUUAUGAUUGUUAUUGUUACUAUUGUGUUGAAAAAUAUGUGCGGGCAAAAAUAAAAAAAGAAUUGAAUGAGACUGACAGACAGUUCACCCUGUCCCCCGCACACGUUCACCCACCUGCAUACCUACAAAAGCACACACACACACAAACACAGAUGACUGGAUGAAUGGAUAUGGAGUAACCGUAAGCUGGACGGACGGAUGAAAUUUUUAUGUUCUUUUAAGGUCUAGUGGCGUGCAACUAUGUUUCUGAUGAUUAGGUAAAAUUCAAGAUGCUAUUUCUCCAAAUUUGGGUGAAUACUUCUGUUUAAAAGAGGCGAACAACACAGAUGUCAGCAUUGUACAUUGAUACGACAUCAAGUCCUGGCUCAGGGACAAUGUGUUAAUGUGUAUCUGCACAGUGAUAUCAUGAUUUUGACUGCUUUUGCGAAUGGUAAUGUUUGUAAACACGUAUCUCAAAUCCGAACAAGGGAUAUUUACGAAGAUUUUGAGACAAAGGUAGCUUUUACUGAGGUUUAUCUAGUCAUUAGAACAAGUUUCAACCCAUUAGAACUUUAACCACUUAAGUUUACACACCUCCACUGCAACAGAGGGAAAAUGCGCUGUGCACGUAAAUGAAAGUAAACAAUCCUGUUCACUGACAUUGCAAGUAGGGGGCGUGAUUGAUGUUUGUCAUAAUUCAAAUUGUUAAAUCGACCACACUCUGUGUGAACAAAAAUAUAAAAUAAAAUCAGAUUCUCACCAAGGGACCAAGUGUGAGUGCUGGUUAAUUUAAUCCCGAGCGAAACCUCUUGGGCAUCACUAUUAUAUUUUUUCUUAAAAGGAACAUCCAUGGUCUUGUUUAUCAUGAAGAUUGUUAAGAAAUAUGUCAACAACAAAAACAAAUUAUCAUAGUUCCCGCGUACUUUC